UACGGAGGGAGCUAGCGUUGUUCGGAAUUACUGGGCGUAAAGCGUACGUAGGCGGCUAUUCAAGUCAGAGGUGAAAGCCCGGGGCUCAACCCCGGAACUGCCUUUGAAACUAGGUAGCUAGAGUCUUGGAGAGGUUAGUGGAAUUCCGAGUGUAGAGGUGAAAUUCGUAGAUAUUCGGAAGAACACCAGUGGCGAAGGCGACUAACUGGACAAGUACUGACGCUGAGGUACGAAAGCGUGGGGAGCAAAAGGG
rnacentral:rRNA from 1 species